rnacentral:lncRNA from 1 species
AAAACAGCUGGGGUGCCUUCCUCUCUCAGUUGGUUUUUAAAGGCCAAACCAAACCUUUGGUGGGCAGAAGCCUAGGGAGUGGGUUCUGCUAAUUGGUUGGGGGUAAAACUGUAGGGGUGUGGAAAAUGGUCCUUGUGCACUGAGUCUGCCUCUGCGUGGGAACCACAGAACCAGUUGAGUCAUGAGUCAUGGGUUCGGGUGGGGUCAGUGGGUUGUCAGAGUGCAAAAGUUGAUCUUAUUCCAUCUGCAAACAGAAAUAUCUUCUGAGUUUCCCAAAUCAAGAGAAGCCAUCUGGUACCCACCAGAAAUCACUCACAUGUCCAGACGCAGUUGUGCACACACACAAUUACUAAUGUCAACAAAAAGAGUCAAACUCUGUAAAAUAUUUGAAGAGAUUUAUUCUGAGCCAAAUAUGAGUGACCAUGGCCCAUGACACAGUCCCCAGGAGGUCCUGAGAACAUGUGCCCAAGGUCGUUGGGGUGCAGCUUGGUUUUAUACAUUUUAAGGAGGCGUAAGACAUCAAUCAAAUACAUUUAAGAUAUACAUUUGUUUGGCCCAGAAAGGCGAUACAACUCAAAGCGGGGCGGGGCUUCCAGGCUAUAGAUAAAUUUAAACAUUUUCUGGUUGACAAUUGGUUGAGUUUGUCUAAAGACCUGGGAUCAUAGAAAGGAAACGUUCAGGUUAAAAGAUUGUGGAGACCAAGGUUCUUUUGAAGUCUUACAGUGGCUGCCCUUAGAAACAAUAGUUGACAAAUGUUUCCUAUUCAGACCUUUAAAAGGUGCUAGACUCUUAGUAUUUCAAAAUAUGGCAAAGAAACAUGUUCUGGGGUAAAAUAUUAUGACUUUCUUCUUUGUCGUGUAAUGUUAUACCAGAGUAAGAUUGGAAAGUAAGUCACAAUAUAUAAGUUAAAUAAAACCCAUCUGGGCUGGGCAUGGUGGCUCACGCUUGUAAUCCCUGCACUUUUGGAGGCUGAGGCAGGCAGAUCACCUGAGGUCAGGAGUUCGAGACCAGCCUGGCCAUUAUGGUGAAACCCAGUCUCUACUAAAAAUACAAAAAUUGGCAGGGCGUAGUGGCAGGCACCUGUAAUUCCAGCUACUCAUGAGGC